rnacentral:rRNA from 1 species
AGAGUUUGAUCCUGGCUCAGAUUGAACGCUGGCGGAAUGCUUUACACAUGCAAGUCGAGCGGCAGCGCGGGGCAACCUGGCGGCGAGCGGCGAACGGGUGAGUAAUGCAUCGGAACAUGUCCAUGUCGUGGGGGAUAGCCCGGCGAAAGCCGGAUUAAUACCGCAUAAGCCCGGGAGGGGAAAGCAGGGGACCGCAAGGCCUUGCGCGAUUGGGUUGGCCGAUGUCCGAUUAGCUUGUUGGUGAGGUAAAGGCUCACCAAGGCGAUGAUCGGUAGCUGGUCUGAGAGGAUGAUCAGCCACACUGGGACUGCGACACGGUCCAGACUCCUACGGGAGGCAGCAGUGGGGAAUCUUGCGCAAUGGGGGCAACCCUGAUCCAGCCAUGCCGCGUGAGUGAAGAAGGUCUUCGGAUUGUAAAGCUCUUUUGCCAGGGACGAUAAUGACGGUACCUGGAGAAUAAGCCCCGGCAAACUUCGUGCCAGCAGCCGCGGUAAUACGAAGGGGGCUAGCGUUGUUCGGAAUUACUGGGCGUAAAGUGUGCGCAGGCGGCAGAGCAAGUCGAGUGUGAAAGCCCCGGGCUUAACUUGGGAAUUGCGCUCGAAACUAUUUUGCUGGAGUGUGGCAGAGGAAGGUGGAAUUCCACGUGUAGCGGUGAAAUGCGUAGAGAUGUGGAGGAACACCAAUGGCGAAGGCAGCCUUCUGGGCCAACACCGACGCUCAUGCACGAAAGCGUGGGGAGCAAACAGGAUUAGAUACCCUGGUAG